rnacentral:misc_RNA from 1 species
UAGCGCCGGCGGCUUUCGAUCACCGAGACUAGUAGAAUCCAUGGCCUCCAAGCUACUCAUGCAUAAGCAAUUGAGGAAGAAAAUGUUAGGAUCAAUUGAAGUUCGAUCUCCUCUCAGAAACCCUACCAAUUCUUCCUCCUCCUCUUCUCAUUACUUCUCCGAUUCUCCCCAGUCUCUGCUUCAGAACUACUCCAAUUUCAAGUCAAGUGGUUUACCUUCACGUUUUAUGUUCUAUUCGGACAGUUCGUGGGUUGAUUUCCCUACCCAAGUGCUUGAGAUCUUGCGAACGGGUUUCUCCGACCGGAAGCCGGUGAUGGAAUUGCAAAUUGGUGGAUCGAAAUACUUAUUUGAUUUGUACAGGAUGUUGCAGAUUGAUUUAGAGACUGGUCGACAAAGAUCGGUUGCUUGGAUCGAUGAAAACGGUAAGUGUUUCUUCCCCAAAGUUUUUAUUGGGGAAGAAAGUGUGAAUACCUCCCGGACUUCUUGUAGUCCGAAAAUUGAAAUUGAGAUAACGAUUGGUGGGAAAUCCGGGAAGAGAAAGAGGGAGGCGAUGGAAGAAAAUGAAGUAAAUUCCAG